rnacentral:rRNA from 1 species
CUGCUAUCGAGGUUCGACUAAGCAUGCGAGUCGAAUGUAGCAAUACAUGGCGAACUGCUCAGUAACACGUGGACAACCUGCCCUUAGGUUGGGUAUAAACCCGGGAAACUGGGUAUAAUACCCGAUAGGUCUCGAUUGCUGGAAUGCAUCGAGAUUUAAAGCUCCGGCGCCUAAGGAUGGGUCUGCGGCCUAUCAGGUAGUAGUGGGUGUAGCGUACCUACUAGCCUACGACGGGUACGGGUUGUGAGAGCAAGAGCCCGGAGAUGGAUUCUGAGACACGAAUCCAGGCCCUACGGGGUGCAGCAGGCGCGAAAACUUUACAAUGCUGGCAACAGCGAUAAGGGAACCUCGAGUGCCAGGUUACAAAUCUGGCUGUCGAGAUGCCUAAAAAGCAUUUCAUAGCAAGGGCCGGGCAAGACCGGUGCCAGCCGCCGCGGUAACACCGGCGGCUCGAGUGGUAACCGUUAUUAUUGGGUCUAAAGGGUCUGUAGCCGGCCGGAUAAGUCUCUUGAGAAAUCUGGCAGCUUAACUGUCAGGCUUUCAGGAGAUACUGUCUGGCUCGAGGCCGGGAGAGGUGAGAGGUACUUCAGGGGUAGGGGUGAAAUCUUGUAAUCCUUGAAGGACCACCAGUGGCGAAGGCGUCUCACCAGAACGGACCUGACGGCAAGGGACGAAAGCUAGGGGCACGAACCGGAUUAGAUACCCGGGUAGUCCUAGCCGUAAACGAUACUCGCUAGGUGUCGGCCACGGUGCGACCGUUGU